rnacentral:rRNA from 1 species
GAAGCCUGACGCAGCCAUGCCGCGUGAAUGAUGAAGGUCUUAGGAUUGUAAAAUUCUUUCACCGGGGAAGAUAAUGACGGUACCCGGAGAAGAAGCCCCGGCUAACUUCGUGCCAGCAGCCGCGGUAAUACGAAGGGGGCUAGCGUUGCUCGGAAUUACUGGGCGUAAAGGGCGCGUAGGCGGAUAGUUUAGUCAGAGGUGAAAGCCCAGGGCUCAACCUUGGAACUGCCUUUGAUACUGGCUAUCUUGAGUUCGGGAGAGGUGAGUGGAAUGCCGAGUGUAGAGGUGAAAUUCGUAGAUAUUCGGCGGAACACCAGUGGCGAAGGCGACUCACUGGCCCGAUACUGACGCUGAGGCGCGAAAGCGUGGGGAGCAAACAGGAUUAGAUACCCUGGUAGUCCACGCUGUAAACGAUGAGUGCUAGUUGUCGGCAUGCAUGCAUGUCGGUGACGCAGCUAACGCAUUAAGCACU